rnacentral:lncRNA from 1 species
CAAAUAUCAUGUUUCUGCACGCAGGCACAGCUCAAUUCCUCUUUCAGUCUUGCACGUGAAUAUUCAUCUGGAUUAAAGCAAGCAGAAGGCGAUAACAGCGCGCUCACACAUCGGCUUUGUGCUUCAGGCUGUUUUCUAUGCACUUUAUUUGCAUAUGCGUUCAGCUUUUUUUCCCUGUAUGUGGACCAAAUUAGCUCGUGUGUUUCUGUUUUUAGCCGAGGUCGAUAUAGCGAUAAGGACCUUUAAAGCAGGCGUGCUGUGGCAGGUGUUCAGUCUGGAUGUGCUCCUCUAAAGCGCAGUGUUGGACCAGAAAAGAUGAGCUGAUAUUGAGGUGUUCGCUCACUACCGUGAUUGAUUUAUGGAUGGGUUGAAUCUCAUGACCACAACAAUGUCUACCAGUAAAUCUGCCGCCAGAAGAGCAAUUCUACAGACCUCCAGGACUAGGUGGAACAGGACGGAUAACUUUGAUAUUGUUCCUAUUAUCAGUUCGGACACAAGAAAGUGUGAUGAAGACAACGUAGAGCGCUGGCUUAUGACAAUCUCCAAGGACGAAACGAAACCAGAGGUUGUCCCGGAAACGUCAGUGAAGCCUAUAAGAAGAAAUGAGAGCGGGGAAGAUGAUCUGGCACUGGGAGUGGAAGGUAAACAUUCUCAGUUUUGUAUUGCACGGUUCAGUUUAACCAAAUACCCAUCUGAAACAAGA